rnacentral:rRNA from 1 species
GAUGAACGCUGGCGGCGUGCCUAAUACAUGCAAGUCGAGCGAACAGUCGAGGAGCUUGCUUCUCUGAUGUUAGCGGCGGACGGGUGAGUAACACGUGGAUAACCUACCUAUAAGACUGGGAUAACUUCGGGAAACCGUAGCUAAUACCGGAUAAUAUCUUGCACCGCAUGGUUCAAAAGUGACAGCCGGUUUUGUUGUCACUUAUAGAUGGCUCCGCGCCGCCUUAGCUAGUUGGUAAGGUAACGGCUUACCAAGGCAACGCUGCGUAGCCGACCUGAGAGGGUGAUCGGCCACACUGGAACUGAGACACGGUCCAGGCUCCUACGGGAGGCAGCGGUAGGGAAUCUUCCGAAAUGGGCGAAAGCCUGACGGAGCAACGCCGCGUGAGUGAUGAAGGUCUUCGGAUCGUAAAACUCUGUUAUUAGGGAAGAACAAAUGUGUAAGUAGCUAUGCACGUCUUGACGGUACCUAAUCAGAAAGCCACGGCUAACUACGUG